rnacentral:rRNA from 1 species
AAUGAACGCUGGCGGCAGGCCUAACACAUGCAAGUCGAACGGAUCCUUCGGGAUUAGUGGCGGACGGGUGAGUAACGCGUGGGAACAUACCCAAAGGUACGGAAUAGCCUCGGGAAACUGGGAGUAAUACCGUAUGUGCUCGAAAGAGGAAAGAUUUAUCGCCUUUGGAUUGGCCCGCGUUGGAUUAGGUAGUUGGUGGGGUAAAGGCCUACCGAGCCGACGAUCCAUAGCUGGUUUGAGAGGAUGAUUAGCCACACUGGGACUGGGACACGGCCCAGACUCCUACGGAAGGCAGCAGUGGGGAAGCUUAGACAAUGGGGGAAACCCUAGUCGAGCCAUGCCGCGUGAUCGAUGAAGGCCUUAGGGUUGUAAAGAUCUUUCAGGUGGGAAGAUAAUGACUGUACCACCAGAAGAAGCCCCGGCUAACUCCGUGCCAGCCGCCGCAGUAA